rnacentral:rRNA from 1 species
CAGCAGCCGCGGGAAUACGUAGGUCCCGAGCGUUGUCCGGAUUUAUUGGGCGUAAAGCGAGCGCAGGCGGUUAGAUAAGUCUGAAGCUAAAGGCUGUGGCUUAACCAUAGUACGCUUUGGAAACUGUUUAACUUGAGUGCAAGAGGGGAGAGUGGAAUUCCAUGUGUAGCGGUGAAAUGCGUAGAUAUAUGGAGGAACACCAGUGGCGAAGGCGACUCUCUGGUCUGUAACUGACGCUGAGGAGCGAAAGCGUGGGGAGCAAACAGGAUUAGAUACCCAGUAGUCCCUGUCUCUUAUACAC